UACGUAGGGACCAAGCGUUGUUCGGAUUUACUGGGCGUAAAGGGCGCGUAGGCGGCAAUUCAAGUCAUCUGUGAAAUCUCCGGGCUUAACUCGGAACGGUCAGGUGAUACUGCUUUGCUAGAGUGCAGAAGGGGCAAUCGGAAUUCUUGGUGUAGCGGUGAAAUGCGUAGAUAUCAAGAGGAACACCUGAGGUGAAGACGGGUUGCUGGGCUGACACUGAUGCGCGACAGCGUGGGGAGCAAACAGG
rnacentral:rRNA from 1 species